rnacentral:rRNA from 1 species
GCAUAUCAAUAAGCGGAGGAAAAGAAACCAACAGGGAUUGCCUCAGUAACGGCGAGUGAAGCGGCAACAGCUCAAAUUUGAAAUCUGGCCCUUUCAGGGUCCGAGUUGUAAUUUGUAGAGGAUGUUUCGGGUGUGGCUCCGGUCUAAGUUCCUUGGAACAGGACGUCAUAGAGGGUGAGAAUCCCGUAUGUGACUGGUAGCCUAUGCCCAUGUGAAACUCCUUCGACGAGUCGAGUUGUUUGGGAAUGCAGCUCAAAAUGGGUGGUAAAUUUCAUCUAAAGCUAAAUAUUGGCCAGAGACCGAUAGCGCACAAGUAGAGUGAUCGAAAGAUGAAAAGCACUUUGGAAAGAGAGUUAAACAGUACGUGAAAUUGUUGAAAGGGAAGCGCUUGCAACCAGACUUGCAUGUAGCUGAUCAACCGGUGUUCUCACCGGUGCACUCAGUUGCGUUCAGGCCAGCAUCGGUUUCGACGGUUGGAUAAAGGCCUUGGGAAUGUAGCUCCUCUCGGGGAGUGUUAUAGCCCAGGGUGCAAUGCAGCCUGUUGGGACCGAGGACCGCGCUUCGGCUAGGAUGCUGGCGUAAUGGUUGUAAGCGACCCGUCUUGAAACACGGACCAAGGAGUCUAACAUCUAUGCGAGUGUUUGGGUGUCAAACCCAUACGCGUAAUGAAAGUGAACGGAGGUGAGAACCCUUAAGGGUGCAUCAUCGACCGAUCCUGAUGUCUUCGGAUGGAUUUGAGUAAGAGCAUAGCUGUUGGGACCCGAAAGAUGGUGAACUAUGCCUGAAUAGGGUGAAGCCAGAGGAAACUCUGGUGGAGGCUCGCAGCGGUUCUGACGUGCAAAUCGAUCGUCAAAUUUGGGUAUAGGGGCGAAAGACUAAUCGAACCAUCUAGUAGCUGGCUCUGGUGA